rnacentral:misc_RNA from 1 species
CAACCCUCGAGCCCCUUUGGGGGAUCGGUGUUGGGGACCGGGUGCUGCCCGUAGCAAUCUUGUUGCGGGCGGCGGCCGCCCCCUAAAUUCAGUGGCGGUCCCGCCGCAGCCUCUCCGUGCGUAGUAGCAUUUGCUCACGCUUCGCAAGGGAGAGAGCGGCGUGGCUAUGCCGUAAAACAACCCAACUUUCUGAAA